AGGUUCUAAAUAAAGAUAGUGUGAUUCAUCCACAUCAAUACUUAGAGCUCAAUUCUAGUUCUAAUCAAUGAUCUCAUGCCUUAUUCGAUGUAGAUUUUGAAUUUGUUUACCAGUGCUUCCAAGAAUCAGUGUUCAGCUGCGGUUGGCUUCAAGUGGAUGCUUAAUCAGGAUAUCACAAGUGUGGAGAGAAAAAGUCUUGCUAAUACAUAUGAGAUGGAGAAAAAGAGG